rnacentral:rRNA from 1 species
GUGGGGAAUCUUAGACAAUGGGGGCAACCCUGAUCUAGCCAUGCCGCGUGAGUGAUGAAGGCCUUAGGGUCGUAAAGCUCUUUCGCUGGGGAAGAUAAUGACGGUACCCAGUAAAGAAACCCCGGCUAACUCCGUGCCAGCAGCCGCGGUAAUACGGAGGGGGUUAGCGUUGUUCGGAAUUACUGGGCGUAAAGCGCGCGUAGGCGGAUUGGAAAGUUGGGGGUGAAAUCCCGGGGCUCAACCCUGGAAUGGCCUUCAAAACUCCCAGUCUUGAGGUCGAGAGAGGUGAGUGGAAUUACGAGUGUAGAGGUGAAAUUCGUAGAUAUUCGGAGGAACACCAGUGGCGAAGGCGGCUCACUGGCUCGAUACUGACGCUGAGGUGCGAAAGCGUGGGGAGCAAACAGGAUUAGAUACCCCAGUAGUCC